UACGUAGGGUGCAAGCGUUGUCCGGAAUUAUUGGGCGUAAAGAGCUUGUAGGCGGUUUGUCGCGUCUGCUGUGAAAUUUCGGGGCUCAACCCCGAACUUGCAGUGGGUACGGGCAGACUAGAGUGUGGUAGGGGAGGCUGGAAUUCCUGGUGUAGCGGUGAAAUGCGCAGAUAUCGGGAAGAACACCCGUGGCGAAGGCGGCUCUCUGGGACGGUACUGACGCUGAGACGCGAAAGCGUGGGGAGCGAACAGG
rnacentral:rRNA from 1 species